GCUUUCGGGUGUCGCUGAUGGAUGGACCCGCGGUGCAUUAGCUAGUUGGUGAGGUAACGGCUCACCAAGGCGACGAUGCAUAGCCGACCUGAGAGGGUGAUCGGCCACAUUGGGACUGAGACACGGCCCAAACUCCUACGGGAGGCAGCAGUAGGGAAUCUUCGGCAAUGGACGAAAGUCUGACCGAGCAACGCCGCGUGAGUGAAGAAGGUUUUCGGAUCGUAAAACUCUGUUGUUAGAGAAGAACAAGGAUGAGAGUAACUGUUCAUCCCUUGACGGUAUCUAACCAGAAAGCCACGGCUAACUACGUGCCAGCAGCCGCGGUAAUACGUAGGUGGCAAGCGUUGUCCGGAUUUAUUGGGCGUAAAGCGAGCGCAGGCGGUUUCUUAAGUCUGAUGUGAAAGCCCCCGGCUCAACCGGGGAGGGUCAUUGGAAACUGGGAGACUUGAGUGCAGAAGAGGAGAGUGGAAUUCCAUGUGUAGCGGUGAAAUGCGUAGAUAUAUGGAGGAACACCAGUGGCGAAGGCGGCUCUCUGGUCUGUAACUGACGCUGAGGCUCGAAAGCGUGGGGAGCAAACAGGAUUAGAUACCCUGGUAGUCCACGCCGUAAACGAUGAGUGCUAAGUGUUGGAGGGUUUCCGCCCUUCAGUGCUGCAGCUAACGCAUUAAGCACUCCGCCUGGGGAGUACGACCGCAAGGUUGAAACUCAAAGGAAUUGACGGGGGCCCGCACAAGCGGUGGAGCAUGUGGUUUAAUUCGAAGCAACGCGAAGAACCUUACCAGGUCUUGACAUCCUUUGACCACUCUAGAGAUAGAGCUUCCCCUUCGGGGGCAAAGUGACAGGUGGUGCAUGGUUGUCGUCAGCUCGUGUCGUGAGAUGUUGGGUUAAGUCCCGCAACGAGCGCAACCCUUAUUGUUAGUUGCCAUCAUUUAGUUGGGCACUCUAGCAAGACUGCCGGUGACAAACCGGAGGAAGGUGGGGAUGACGUCAAAUCAUCAUGCCCCUUAUGACCUGGGCUACACACGUGCUACAAUGGGAAGUACAACGAGUCGCAAAGUCGCGAGGCUAAGCUAAUCUCUUAAAGCUUCUCUCAGUUCGGAUUGUAGGCUGCAACUCGCCUACAUGAAGCCGGAAUCGCUAGUAAUCGCGGAUCAGCACGCCGCGGUGAAUACGUUCCCGGGCCUUGUACACACCGCCCGUCACACCACGAGAGUUUGUAACACCCGAAGUCGGUGAGGUAACCUUUUGGAGCCAGCCGCCUAAGGUGGGAUAGAUGAUUGGGGUGAAGUCGUAACAAGGUAGCCGUAUCGGAAGGUGCGGCUGGAUCACCUCCUUUCUAAGGAA
rnacentral:rRNA from 1 species